UAAAUAGCCAGGCCGGCUUUCGCUGGUCGCCGGCUUCUUAGAGGGACUGUCAGCGUCUAGCUGACGGAAGUUUGAGGCAAUAACAGGUCUGUGAUGCCCUUAGAUGUUCUGGGCCGCAACGGGCAGGGCCCAAUACCAAGCAGAGCUUGAGGGUUGAAAUGACGCUCGAACAGGCAUG
rnacentral:rRNA from 1 species